rnacentral:rRNA from 1 species
GUGGUUGUUGCUGGCCCUCUCGGGGGCAUGUGCACACCCACCAUCCUCAUCUCUCCACCUGUGCACCUCUUGUAGACCUGGAUUGACUUUCCGAGGCAACUCGGUCGGGAAGAUUGCUGCGCUCUGUGAGCCAGCUUUCUUUGCAUGUCCAGGCCUAUGUUUUUCAUAUACCCCUAUAGAAUGUAACAGAAUGUAUCAUUGGGCCUUGUGCCUAUAAACCUUAUACAACUUUCAGCAACGGAUCUCUUGGCUCUCGCAUCGAUGAAGAACGCAGCGAAAUGCGAUAAGUAAUGUGAAUUGCAGAAUUCAGUGAAUCAUCGAAUCUUUGAACGCACCUUGCGCUCCUUGGUAUUCCGAGGAGCAUGCCUGUUUGAGUGUCAUUAAAUUCUCAACCUUAUUAACUUUUGUUGAUAAUGGAUUGGAUUGUGGGGGUUUCUUUUGCUGGCUUCUUCACAGAGAUCAGCUCCCCUUAAAUGCAUUAGCUGGUGCCCCGCGUGGACCAUCUAUUGGUGUGAUAAUUAUCUACGCCGUGGAUGUCUGCAAUCAUAUGGGUUUCGCACUGCUUCUAACCGUCUGUUCAUUCGGACAAUACAUGACAAUUUGACCUCAAAUCAGUAGGACUACCCGCUGAACUUAAGCAUAUCAAUAAGCGGARGAAAARAACUAACAAGGAUUCCCCUAGUAACUGCGAGUGAAGCGGGAAAAGCUCAAAUUUAAAAUCUGGCGGUCUCCGGCCGUCCGAGUUGWAUCUAAAAAAGUGUUAUCCGCCCUGGA